AAAUAAAAACAGGCAAUUUUUUUGAAAGAUAACUCACAUACUACAUAACAUGUCUGACUAAUAGAUCUUCAUUUCCACCAGUUAAAGUAAUAUAAAUUAAAGCAAUGCAAUAGUUUCUUUAACAAUUAUGUUGUUGAUGAUUAAAAUAUUGAUAAUACCAAUGUGCCAAAAGUAUAAUAAAUGAUUACCUUUAUACAUUAUUACUUGGUGGCAGCUUAUAUUGGUACAAUAUUUCAAAGAGGCAAUUUGGCAAUAUCUAUUAAAAUAUGACAUUUAAAAAACUUUUGUCCCAGCAUUUUUGCAUCUGGGAACCUGUUUAAAAGAACUAUCCCUACAUAUAUGUGAAGGUAUGUACAUCUAGAAGAUUAUUCCUUGCAAUACUGUUUAUAGCAGCAAAAAACUUGAAACCAUCGAACAUUUAUCAAUAGGGGAUUCCCUAAGUUCAAAAUACGGCAAAGAAUUAAUAGUGAUGAUUUUAACAGGUAGAAUUGAAGGGUCAAUUGGGGAUUUCACUCUUUUUCUUAUGUGCCUUUAUUUUAAUGUUUUACAAUAUUAAGUAAUACUUUUACAGUAAGAAAAACAACUAAGAUAUUUUAAAAGUUAUUUUUAGAAAAAGCUUCAAGAUUAUUUCAAUAGAAUAAUACCAAAUAAACACAAGCAUAUGACAGCAUUAUAUUAUAAAGAUUAAACUGUAGUAAUAAAGGAUAAUUCCAGGAAUUCGAUUAUGUUUUAUUAUAAGAAAAUGUAUUUGUAAUUUAUCAAAAAGUGAAAUAAAAAGUAAAUUUGACCUUUGGGAGCUUUUCAGCUAACCUUUUGGUUUUAAGAAGAAACAGCAUAUAAAUAUAUAAAGAUCAUGGUCUCAGAUACCUUCUAAAUGCUGUUAGAUUACUAAAUUCAUAGUUGCUUAUUUGAGUAUCUCAAAGGAUGCAGUAGCUAUUAAUCAAGAAAGACUUUGGGAGAAAUAGGUUAUUAUUAUUUGGGGGAAGGGAAUCAGGAGUUUGUUUUUGACACAUUUCAUUUGAGAUGUGUUUUAGACUUCCAAGUGAAGAAAUUAAGUAGACAGCUGGUGAGCAAGUUUUCGGUUCAAGAGACAGGGCAACUUUGGAGAUAUGAAUUUGGGAAUCAGCAGUGUAUAGAUGUAUCAUGAUCUUUAUACAUGUGUCAGUUACAGCACUUACCUCAUUAUUUUGUCAUUGUUUGUUGACAUAUUUGUCUGUCUACAUUAAAAUCCUUGGGGGCAGAGACCACAUUUUGUUUGACAUUUUAAUCUUUCAUUCACGGCAACCUCGCCAUGGUGUGAAGCUGUAGGUUUGUUUUCUUUGGAUAUGAUUGACUGGAGCUAUGAUUAACUUGGGGCUUGGUCCAGGGAAAGCCAUUUUUCUUAAAACCAAAAGGUUAUAGCUUAAAAGCCGCCACAGGGGAAACCAGGUUGUUAAAUUUAUAGUUUAUGAUCAAAGCUUAAGAUUUUAUUAUCUCUAGGUAUUUAAAUCUCACCCUCGAUUGCUGAUAUCCUUGUGUCUCUAGGAAGUGUCAUGCCUUUUGAUAGCUCAGCUCAGUACAUAGGCAUAAUCUAGGCACAAAUGUGAGCUUAACCAAGACCAGGCUCAUUGCCUUGUAGUAAAUAAACCUCAUGCCAGCUCAGACUGUUGACAAGCACUGCAGAUACGCCUGAGAUUUAUUCUUUUUGGAAUUGGUUGGUUUGAUCAGUGUGGUCCACAGACUGGUUUCUGUCCAUAAAGCCCCUCCCUGCCUUUUUUUUUUUUUUUUUUGUCUGCUAAGAUACAUUUUUUAAAAAAUCUUUUUUUUUAAAAAGGGAGUCUGCUUAAAUAUGGGUUAAGUACAGAAAUAGAGAGCUGACAUAUAGAAACUUUUAUAGCAAUCAGUCACAGUAAUUUUAUGUCUGUUGAAUUUAGUUUUUACAAUUGUUGUAUUUUGUGUGCCUUUUAUUAUUUUCAGUAAUUCAUUUUAUUGUAUUUUACAAAGGUGUCAAUCUGCAACAGAUUGAACCUAAAAAGAAUUGGUUCUUCCUCCAUAGUUUGAGAAACAGUGCACUGGCUUAUGGCAUCAGGAAGCACAUCAUGGAUUGAGGGCUCAGAUAAAUCACUGGUGUAGAGGUGGGUGAAUGUGUAGUAAACAAGCAUGGAUCAGUAUCUCCAGAAAAUGUGUAUGCUUUGAAAAUAAUUCUGCCAAAUGUUUGUGUCCCUACCCCCCAAUUCAUACAUUGAAAUCCUAACUCCAAGGUUAGGUUAAUCCUAACUCCCAUUUCCCAAUGACCCCAUUCCUAAUAUUAAUUCUAACCCAGAGGUUAGGAUUUAUAUUAGGAGAUGGGGCCUUUGGGGGGUGAGGGGUGAUUAGCUCCUGGCAGAACCCUCUCAAUUGGAACCCAGGCCUUUAUUUUAAAAGCCUGAGAGAGAUCUCUCCCCUCCCAUGAUGUGAGGACACAAUUACAUGAUGCUGUCUGAACCAAGACACAGGCCCGAACUGCACAGUAAGCCUUCUGGAGCCUUGAUUUUGGAUUUCCCAGCCUCCAGAACUAAGUGUUUAUUGUAUGUAAGCCACUCAGGUUAUGGUAUUAUAGCAGCUGAAAUGGACUAAGACAAAUUCUUUACCCCAUUUUUGAUGUAAUGACUUAUUGCUGAAAGUUUGACAUGGUAGCAUGAAAAGAGGUAAAGAACCACCUUUCUGCAGAGAACAGAAAAGGUUUGGAGUUUGAUUUUUGUUGAUUAAGCUGCUGUGAUGUCAAGUCUGACAUUUAAUGGGCAGACUAUACGGUAUGUGAACACUGCUGGGUUUUGUAAACAUUUCUUUUAGUAUUCAAGCUUUAGAUAGGUCUUUCUAUAUCAAUAUAUUGUUCUAUGCUUUCCCAAAAGCAACCUUCUGGUCUACAGCUUCUCCAUGCACUGAAUUCCUAACCUAAUUUUUUAGCUUCUGAAAUACUUUUAUAACUUUCAUUUCUCUUUUGAUACUUCAAACAGAAGCUGUCUAGAGAUACACUGAAUAAAUCAUUUUAGUCAGUUCAUUAAUACUUUCAUUAACCAUUAUUACCUCCCAUGAAUAAUUUUAUUUCACUUUUAUUAAAUAAGCGGAGGUAAUAUGUAUCAGAGAAUGCAAAUAAUGGCUAACUUGGUAAUUUUAGAAAAGAGAAACAGGCAGAUAUAGGUGUAGAAAUAAAGGGAAGCUAAAAUAAUUCUAACGAACUAUCUGAUACUAAGAAACAAACAGCAUGAGGAGUAGAAAACAAAGCACUGGGAAGAGAGACAAAACCACAGACAUCAUGAUGAGUAAUAGAAAA